UACGGGGGGGGCUAGCGUUGUUCGGAAUUACUGGGCGUAAAGAGUUCGUAGGCGGUGCGGCAAGUUCGGUGUGAAAUCUCCCGGCUCAACUGGGAGGGUGCGCUAAAUACUGCCGUGCUCGAGUAUAGGAGAGGUAAGCGGAAUUCCUGUUGUAGCGGUGAAAUGCGUAGAUAUCAGGAGGAACACCUGUGGUGUAGACGGCUUACUGGACUAGAACUGACGCUGAGGAACGAAAGCGUGGGUAGCAGACAGG
rnacentral:rRNA from 1 species